rnacentral:misc_RNA from 1 species
GAUGAAGAACGUAGCGAAAUGCGAUAAGUAAUGUGAAUUGCAGAAUUCCGUGAAUCAUCGAAUCUUUGAACGCAUAUUGCGCCCUCUGGCAUUCCGGAGGGCAUGCCUGUCCGAGCGUCAUUACUAUCUUCAAGCACAGCUUGGUUGUUGAGCCCAAUUGUCCUCUAAUGGACAGGCUUGAAAUGCAGCGGCGAUGCCAUGUUUGGUGCCCGAGUGUAUGGGCUUUGUCACACACUUUUGUGGCCCAGCUGGCGUUGUCUUUUAAAGUACAUAAUAACUAAGAUUUGACCUCGGAUCAGGUAGGGAUACCCGCUGAACUUAAGCAUAUCAAUAAGCGGAGGA